AAAAACUUAGUUAAAAAAAUAACGUUAGUUUGUCAAACUAAAAUUAUUAAUUAUUUAAUAGUUUUUA
rnacentral:tRNA from 1 species